UACGUAGGGUGCGAGCGUUAAUCGGAAUUACUGGGCGUAAAGAGUGCGCAGGCGGCUCUCUAAGACAGGUGUGAAAUCCCCGGGCUUAACCUGGGAAUGGCGCUUGUGACUGGAGAGCUAGAGUGUGGCAGAGGGGAAUGGAAUUCCUGGUGUAGCAGUGAAAUGCGUAGAUAUCAGGAGGAACACCGAUGGCGAAGGCAGUUCCCUGGGCCAACACUGACGCUCAUGCACGAAAGCGUGGGGAGCAAACAGG
rnacentral:rRNA from 1 species